rnacentral:rRNA from 1 species
AUGGCGGGGAGUGGGAAGAGGAGGCGCGCGACGGUGCUCGACGACGACGAGCGGCGGGGCCGGCGGAGGCUGGAGGAGGCGGCCCUGCUCCUCCACAAGAUCAAAGGGCUGGUGGGCUGGGUGGUCGCGGAGAUCAGCGCCGGCCGAUCCCCUUCCCUGGCGCUCCACCGCUACCAGAACUACUGCGCCUGCGCCUCCGCCGCCGCCGCGGCGUCCCCGUCCACAUGCGCCUGCAGCUACGACGCCCCCGUCGGCACGGACGUCCUCUCCCUCCUCCGCAAGGAAUUCCACGCCUCCCGCCUCAAUGUGCUUCUCAGGGUCCUGCUCGUGGUGCAGCAGCUCCUGCAGGAGAAUAAGCACUGCUCCAAGAGGGACAUCUACUACAUGUACCCCUCCAUGUUCGUAGAACAAGCGAUUGUUGAUCGUGCGAUCAACGAUAUCUGCAUACUCUUCAAGUGCAGCCGGCAUAAUCUCAACGUGGUUCCUGUGGCAAAAGGUUUGGUGAUGGGCUGGAUAAGAUUUGUGGAGGGUGAAAAGAAAGUGUACUGCAUAACAAACGUCAAUACUGCUUUCCCCAUUCCAGUUAGCAUUGAAGCAAUCAAAGAUGUUGUUAGUGUUGCUCACUACAUCCUUGUUGUUGAGAAGGAGGCAGUAUUCCAGCGUUUGGCCAAUGACAAGUUCUGCGAAAAGAAUCGCUGCAUUGUUAUUACAGGAAGAGGCUACCCAGAUAUUCCAACAAGAAGAUUCUUGCGCUACCUUGUCGAACAGCUGCACUUGCCUGCUUAUUGCUUAGUGGAUUCAGAUCCGUAUGGUUUUGAUAUUCUGGCCACCUAUAAAUUUGGUUCCAUGCAAUUGGCAUAUGAUGCAAAUAUUCUGCGUGUGCCUGAGAUACGAUGGCUUGGGGUCUUCACAUCUGACUUUGAGGAGUAUUGUCUUCCAGACUGCUGUCAACUUCAAUUGUCAUCUGAAGAUAGGAGGAAGCUUGAAGGAAUUCUCACCAGAUGUUACUUGCACAAGGAAGCCCCAGAAUGGAGGUUGAAGUUGGAAGCCAUGCUGGAAAUGGGUGUCAAGUUUGAGAUUGAAGCAUUGUCAGCAAGUUCCAUUUCGUUUCUGUCGCAGGAGUACAUCCCCCAACAGAUCAGACUAGGGAGGUACAUAUAG